AUCAUCUGCAUAUCUGAGGUUGUUGAUAUUUCUUCCGGCAAUCAUAAUUCUGGCCUGGGAUUCAUCUAGUCCUGUCUUUCGCAGGACUUUACCCCAGUACCUUGUUCCAAAUCCCCUUCCCUAUGAUCUUCCCUCACCCAAUGGGAAAUGAAUAAAAAUUAAUAAUAAUAGAAGUGAAAGAGUCCAAAUCUGACAAGAACAACAAACGUUUGAAAAUCCUGUGGCAGAUAAUAUUUCAAGUACAUUCAGUGCUGGACAAUAAAACUUAACCUCACAAAGAAUAUCAACAAGAACAGCAAAGCAAAACAAAGCAAAACACUGGUGUUCAACAUUUGUCCCUUUUGCUGUUUCAGGAAAUCUCCUGGUCUCUGUGGGGAUCCCAGAGGAAUUUCCUGCUGGGAUUAAAUGUAAAAAGUUUCCAGGAUCAAAAAAAACCUGCCAAGUAAUCAUUGUAUCUCUGGUACUUUUCCUUCUGCACUCUUCCACCUUCUCCCUUCUCACUUUCUCUCACACACAAGCAGCUGAUAUGUGCAUUUUAAGAAAUCUGCUACAUUAAAUAUAUUACAGACAUGUUUUUUUAGUUUGGCUUUGGUCCACAAAAGCUUAUAUCACAAUAUAUUUAUAAGUUUUUGUUGCAACAGACUGGUAUACUUACUCUUCUGGAAUUGCUCACACUCCUAAAUAUAUCGGCUGUAAACUAAUCCUAUUUUAAGAAAUUAUGUUUAGGUUUUGUUUUCUAAUUUCUGAUGGCUGUGAUUCAGAUUAAAAUCCUACACUGACUAAUACAGUCCUUCAAUUUAUAAUUGACUCUCUUUUCUUCUUUCUGUUUUGGACCUAUGCUCACAUUAGCUAUAUCCCAGAGAAGGAAGCACUGAUAGAAUUGCUUGGAAAAUGUACAGUGAACGCUGAAAGUUCCAGAUUUCAAACACUUUACAAGCACUUAGCUGUACACUAGAUUGAGGCCAAAUACUGGAAGUAAAUUCCAUUGAAAGAAAUUGUUAUAGUACUUCUACUUAAACACAUUCAAGACAGGAGCAUGGCACCCCAAUCCUAAACAGGAUGUUUGUGGUCAAAAGACACAAAACACAUAUGAACAAAGCAUACAUUGAGAGCGUCACUUGGUUACAAAUAGUUACUAUUGCUAAUUUUUUUAAAAAAAUACAGCCUCUCUGUUUUGGCAAUGAAGGCUACUGUGGCAGAACUAGCUGGUGACAUCCUGCAUAUGCACAUCACUUCUUUGCAUCAUAGGAACUCCUUGGAUGAAAAUUCUACCAUAUCAGUAAGGACUGCUUUGGCACAGCAUAAUACAAGACUCAUUGGAAAAUACACCAGUGCUGUGGAAAUUUGAAGGCAGUAGGAAAAGAGGAAGACCAAUAUGAGAUGAAUUGACCCAAUAUAGGAAACCAUGGUUUGUAAGACUUGAGCAAGGCUGUUAAUGAGAGGACCUCGUAACAAUCAUUAAUUCAUUGUGUUGCCUCAUUUCGACCUCUCUAGGCGGCUAGUGGUUUCCUCCCUCAUUUUCAAAAACUGGAAUAAUAAAGAGAGCCACAGCGGAGAGACAUAGAAAAUGUGGUGAAGUUGUGUAUGACGGCAAAGAAAAUAUGAUCUUGGAUGUUCUUGCUCUGCAGUUGGAGCCAAGAGGAGGUUCUCUCACAUGAUAAAAGGUUUCCUCAAAAGAUACUGCAAAAAUGCUUUUUGUUGUGCCUUCCACAUAGUGUCUUAUGUUAUACAUUUAAACUAUAUAAAUUGUUUUAUUCAACCUUUGCUGUGCUUAACUACAUUUAUUAGAAUGUAGCAGAGAUACCUCUGCUUCCUAGGUAUCACAGUCUAAAUCAUCUAGUCUGAUACGGGAAUGAAUAUACAAAAGGUUUAUUUAUUAAGGAUAGGAGUAGAUUAUGAUACCUCCAACUUAAAAGUACAAUCUGGUUUACCAACACAGCCAUAAAUCAAAUGAAAGUAAACAAUUAUCAGAAGGGUCCUGAAAUCAAUAAAUUACAUCAGUCUC